CCUACGGGAGGCUGCAGUGGGGAAUAUUGCACAAUGGGGGAAACCCUGAUGCAGCGACGCCGCGUGAAGGAAGAAGUAUUUCGGUAUGUAAACUUCUAUUAGCAGGGAAGAAAAUGACGGUACCUGACUAAGAAGCCCCGGCCAAAUACGUGCCAGCAGCCGCGGUAAAACGUAGGGGGCAAGCGUUAUCCGGAUUUACUGGGUGUAAAGGGAGCGUAGGCGGGGAUGCAAGUCAGAAGUGAAAGCCCGGGGCUCAACGCCGGGACUGCUUUUGAAACUGUGUUGCUAGAUUGCAGGAGAGGUAAGUGGAAUGUGUGGUGUAGCGGUGAAAUGCAUAGAUAUUAGGAAGAACACCGGUGGCGAAGGCAGCUUACUGGACUGUAAAUGACGCUGAGGCACGAAAGCGUGGGGAGCAAACAGGAUUAGAUACCCCAGUAGUC
rnacentral:rRNA from 1 species